rnacentral:rRNA from 1 species
GAUGAACGCUGGCGGCGUGCCUAAUACAUGCAAGUCGAACGAAACUUCUUUAUCACCGAGUGCUUGCACUCACCGAUAAAGAGUUGAGUGGCGAACGGGUGAGUAACACGUGUGCAACCUGCCCAAAAGAGGGGGAUAACACUUGGAAACAGGUGCUAAUACCGCAUAACCAUAGUUACCGCAUGGUAACUAUGUAAAAGGUGGCUAUACUACCGCCUUUGGAUGGGCCCGCGGGGCAUUAGCUAGUUGGUAGGGUAAAGGCUUACCAAGGCAAUGAUGCGUAGCCGAAUUGAGAGGUUGAUCGGCCACAUUGGGACUGAGACACGGCCCAAAAUCCUACGGGAGGCAGCAGUAGGGAAUCUUGCACAAUGGGCGAAAGCCUGAUGGAGCGACGCAGCGUGGGUGAAGAAGGUCUUCGGAUCGUAAAACCCUGUUGUUAGAGAAGAAAGUGCGUGAGAGUAACUGUUCACGUUUCGACGGUAUCUAACCAGAAAGCAACUGCUAACUACGUG